rnacentral:rRNA from 1 species
AUUGAACGCUGGCGGCAGGCUUAACACAUGCAAGUCGAGCGGUAGCACAGGGGAGCUUGCUCCCUGGGUGACGAGCGGCGGACGGGUGAGUAAUGUCUGGGAAACUGCCUGAUGGAGGGGGAUAACUACUGGAAACGGUAGCUAAUACCGCAUAACGUCGCAAGACCAAAGAGGGGGACCUUCGGGCCUCUUGCCAUCAGAUGUGCCCAGAUGGGAUUAGCUAGUAGGUGGGGUAAUGGCUCACCUAGGCGACGAUCCCUAGCUGGUCUGAGAGGAUGACCAGCCACACUGGAACUGAGACGCGGUCCAGACUCCUACGGGAGGCAGCAGUGGGGAAUAUUGCACAAUGGGCGCAAGCCUGAUGCAGCCAUGCCGCGUGUGUGAAGAAGGCCUUCGGGUUGUAAAGCACUUUCAGCGAGGAGGAAGGUGGUGAGCUUAAUACGUUCAUCAAUUGACGUUACUCGCAGAAGAAGCACCGGCUAACUCCGUG